CCAGAUCAGAUCUGGGUGCGAUGAUGAUGGCAGCAAAUUCUAAAAACAUGUUCAGUGUCUUUAUAACAGGAAAGCUGUAAACUUAGAAAUGUAGGCUGCAGCUCAUGUGCUCUGGUCUGGGCUGGUA
rnacentral:pre_miRNA from 1 species